AAUCCAUCUUCCCAAGAAAUUUCCAUUGACUUGUUGCAGAUUAAUCUCACUCAUAGAGUUGUUUUGAGUUUUGGAAUUUGACAUUUGAAGUGUUUCUUAAGUGUUGUAAAGUGAUUCAUUAAACGUUCACCUAUAUCAGUAAUCAACUGUAAAAUACGAACAUAAUCCCCGAUAUAACAAUAAAGAUACAUUUUGUUCAAAAUAAGCGAGAUAAAAUAGAAAUAAGUUUCAUAUUAUAUAUUGAUUAUAAUUAUAGUCGAUUUUCCCAACAUACCAUUUUUUCUUUUAUGUUGUUUACGUUUUUGUUUUAUCGCUUUCCAACACUAACAUUACAGCAACGAUUUGACAAUCAACAGACUCUCCCCAUUUCAUGAGUGAUUUUUUUUUAUUGUAUUGCACAAAGCGAUUUACAAAUCAUAAAUUUAUUUAUAAAUUUACGAAGAUUCUUUAAAUAAUACAUAAUUUUAAUAUACAAAAUUAAGUUCCCUCCAAUGAGUGUGUAGUUAAAAAAGUAAUUCUCGAUAAAAAAGGAAGAGAUAUUGUAAAAAGAAAAAAUAAGCUUGCAAUCACUUCCGUUCGAAAGAAAGACAGCACAAAGGGAAAGACAAAAAAUUGCUGUUGAUCUUAAAUAAACGCCUAUAAAAAUUGGUAAAGUAAUAGAGAAAUUAUUUAUAAAGAGCAGAAAAUUUAAAUAAAAAAUGGUUGAUCGUUUGGUGAAUUCGGAAGCAAAUUCCAGGCGUAUAGCCAUGGUGGAAAACUGUUUUGGCAGUUCGGGUGUGCCUUUAGCAAUACCAGGACGGGUAUUGGUUGGUGAGGGUGUAUUAACCAAAAUGUGCCGAAAACGACCCAAGUCUAGGCAGUUCUUCCUCUUUAACGAUAUUUUGGUGUACGGCAAUAUAGUCAUAGGAAAAAAGAAAUACAAUAAACAACAUAUAAUGCCUUUGGAAGAGGUCUCAUUGGAGAACAUAGAUGACUGUGUACAAUAUCGCAACGGUUGGUUGAUACGGACAACAACAAAAUCGUUUGUGGUAUGCGCUGCAACAGCAACAGAAAAACAAGAAUGGAUGGCUCAUAUUAACAAGUGUGUAGAGGAUUUGCUCCGUAAAUCUGGUAAGAAGCCUGUAGAAAAUCAUGCUGCCGUUUGGGUACCAGAUGCUGAGGCAACGGUUUGCAUGCACUGCAAGAAAACUCAGUUCACAAUGAUCGUGCGACGUCAUCAUUGUCGCAACUGCGGAGCUGUCGUGUGUGGUCCUUGCUCCUCUAAAAAAUUCUUAUUACCACAACAGAGCUCCAAACCACAACGUGUUUGCACCUCAUGUUAUGAGCGUCUCAGCAAAGCUGUUAAACAGGAAUCGUCCAAAAUUCAUUCUGCAGUCAACAACCAAUCUCACAAUGACUCACACGCCAAUACGGCCGAAUCAUCAGGCGAUGAUGAUUCCGAUGAAGAGACGAACGGUGCUGGCACCGAACAACAUGAUCAACCGAAAUUUUAUGGUGAUACCAGCAUCUUAUCAGCUAAUGAUUCAACAAAGAAUGAAACGUCCUCUUCAGCCACCCAGCUGAACUCUAGUCACUCACCCAGUAACUGAUAUUUGCAUAAAUUGGAAAAAGGUUGGGUGUGGGUGGUUAAGAAAUCGAAAUGAGAAGCGUUUAUUAUUCAAAUGUUAUUAAAACACCAGUUGUUAUUAUAGCAGUUAAUGUAUUUUUAAAAUUUUAUAUUUGUAAUUAUUUAAAAUAUUGCCUUAUGCACUUCGUUCAUCAACGUUUAUCAAUGGCUAAAUUAUUCUACGGUUAUUUCUUAAAGAAAUGGAGGAAGAAGAACGUAAAAAACUUGAAAAGGAGCGCAUUAAGGAAUUAAGAAAAGCUGCUACUUUCAAAGCACGACCAAAUCCCUUUAAAAAUUAAGACAUUUUUAUACGAGAAAGAUUUUUAUCUAAAAGAAAAAUUGUUAAAAACUUAAAUUAUAAAAUUGUGUUUUGUUACUUACAAAUAGUUUUAAUUGUAAAAACAAGUCGAAUAUUAAAAUUUUUCCUUUUUACGAAAUACAUCAACAAUAACAUAUAAUAAACUAAGGAAAAACUUCGCUCUGUUGAGGGGUUUAUCUAUAAAAAUAUUUUUUGAAUGUACAACAAACAGUUAAUUAAUAUUUCAAAAUUUAGAUAUAACGCAGACAGCCAGCCAGCCAGCCAGCCAGUCAGCCAAGCCAGCCUUCACGUUUACAAAUACACAAACACACUAAAGAUAUGAAAAAAUAAUAACAAGUUUAAAAUUUUAAUUUCAUUCAUUAUAAUUUUUAUUACUUUUUAACUACUUGUACUAACACUUUUUUCGAAGAUUGCUAUAAUGCAAUGCAACACAUAUUAAAAAAGAAAAUCUUGCGUUUAUGUAAAAAUUGUUUUAAUUAUUAUAUAUUUUUAUAUUUCUUAGAAUACUGUAAAAACAAUUAUAUUGAUUUUAAUAGAGUACGUCUAUAAUAAAAUAUACUAAUUACCACUCACA